rnacentral:rRNA from 1 species
GACAGAGGCCUCAAGCGUUAGGCGGAAUCACUGGGCUUAAAGCGUGUGUAGGCGGAUCGUUAAGUGUCUUGUGAAAUCCCACGGCUCACCCGUGGAACGGCUGGGCAUACUGGCGAUCUUGGGCCAACUAGGGGCAACUGGAACAAGCGGUGGAGCGGUGAAAUGCGUAGAUAUCGCUUGGAACGCCAAAGGUGAAAACAGGGUUGCUGGGG